GCAGUGAUGGCCGAGUGGUUAAGGCGUCUGACUAGAAAUCAGAUGGGAUCAUCUUCCCGCGUAGGUUCGAAUCUACUCACUGCG